CCUACGGGGGGCUGCAGUGGGGAAUAUUGCACAAUGGGCGCAAGCCUGAUGCAGCCAUGCCGCGUGUGUGAAGAAGGCCUUCGGGUUGUAAAGCACUUUCAGCGGGGAGGAAGGCGGUGAGGUUAAUAACCUCAUCGAUUGACGUUACCCGCAGAAGAAGCACCGGCUAACUCCGUGCCAGCAGCCGCGGUAAUACGGAGGGCGCAAGCGUUAAUCGGAAUUACUGGGCGUAAAGCGCACGCAGGCGGUCUGUCAAGUCGGAUGUGAAAUCCCCGGGCUCAACCUGGGAACUGCAUUCGAAACUGGCAGGCUAGAGUCUUGUAGAGGGGGGUAGAAUUCCAGGUGUAGCGGUGAAAUGCGUAGAGAUCUGGAGGAAUACCGGUGGCGAAGGCGGCCCCCUGGACAAAGACUGACGCUCAGGUGCGAAAGCGUGGGGAGCAAACAGGAUUAGAUACCCUAGUAGUC
rnacentral:rRNA from 1 species